rnacentral:lncRNA from 1 species
CACACCCACACCCACACCCACACCCGCACCCAUACCCACACCCACACCCACACCCGCACCCGCACCCACACCCACACCCACACCCACACCCACACCCACACCCACACCCGCACCCACACCCACACCCAUACCCACACCCACACCCACACGCUGUCCCCCUUUCCCCUCUCACCUCCCAAUGGGCCCCCGCGAGCUCCGCCCCGACCCACAUCCCAUACACACACACACACGCUCUCUCUCUCCCACCUGCCACACUCCCUAGCUCCGGAAUAUCGUCCGCGGGUCCCCCCCGGGUAUUCUCCGUACCGCUGUCCGCCACCUCACGAUCGUGCCGUGCUACUUUUCAUGCAGAAGCACAUACAAACAUACGCAAAUAACUAAAACAAAAAACGCACGUUAAACAACUUGCCAAUGUGGCCUCAUGGGAGGUGACGGGACUUUGGGAAAUAGCUACACGAGAAAACACGUCAACAGCCGAGACAACGGCACGCAACGAGACAGACAGAUAGAUAGAUUAACUGACUCACAGGCAGACAGACAGACAGACCGAACACACCAGGAACAAUGACAUGGCAAUGACAGGGGCGCUGGACUGCAGGUCUCGGUGUGCCAACCGCCAAACUACCAUCCAACUACUACCAGCUAACACAUAAGCAUCCCAGGGAAAAAGAGCGCUGUAUGACCCACGGGUCCGUCCAUUCCCACGCUGCUGCUUCCCCUGCCCUCUCCCGUCCCCACCUGCUCCGGGGACCCUCGCUGGUAGUGGCGGGCGGUGUCCUUAUGUCCGGUUGCGGUGGGCGUUGUGCUGUUCUAUUGCCGACGUGGAGCGAGACGUUGGUUGAGUUUGUGUGCGCGUGGAAAAAAAGGGUUUUGUAAGGGCGUAGCGGCGGUUGGAGUUGGGCGAGAGGGAGGAGGGAUGGUGGGUGCAAAGGUGCUGCCGGCGGGUAUUAGUCCUGGUGGAGUUAUGUGGCGGGUGGAGAGCAGUUUCCGGGACAUGCCGAGUAUCGAGUGUCACGUGUAGAUGUGUAUGCGGGUUUCUGCACCAACCUCACAACCACAUUCCCCCUGUUCCCGCCUCCCGGCGCCCACAGGGGGCCCUCUGUCGCACUCACGUUCCUUGCACGUGGAAGUGGACAUACAUACAUGCAUACAUACAUAUUUACACAGCUAAACCAUAACACACGCGGCAACCGAGCUAGCUAGCCGCCAUCACGACCGCCACACGGGGGGCCCCGCCACACCCCCAGCUCACCUUGAGCCGACCGACGCCCGACUUUCCCCGCCGCCGCCGCCACCGCCACCCCUUCCUUCUCCCGAGGGGCGCCGCGGCUGCCCGCCUGACGUGGCGUACGUAGGCCGUACUCGGCACCCAUCUCCCCGUGGGGGCCGAUGACGCCUGCGUGUCAGAGAAAGACAUCAAAACACAACAUAGACACGAUAAACACACAUAUAUACAUACACGCACACACUCUCUGUUGUCGUUACGCAUACACGUGCACAGGCAUAAAGCGGGACAAGCAUAUGCAGGCUGUUAAGGAGGCUGCAUGCAUGCGGGGGGUGACAUGCAGCCCAACCUUCCUAAUGGGUGUACGCGCACGCGCAUGAGUCUACACUCACAUCAUCGCGUAGCGAAUUUCCCCCGAGGUACAUAUCACCUGGUUCGCCACCGUAGCGGAUCAUCCCGCCCUUCGCCCCACGCCGUAUACCUCGCGACUGUAGUUCCCAGGUUUCCUUCAUCUCCCCUUCAACCACCACCCGCACCCGCACCCGCACCCACACCCACACCCACACCCACACCCGCACCCAUACCCACACCCACACCCACACCCGCACCCGCACCCACACCCACACCCACACACACACCCACACCNNNNNNNNNNNNNNNNNNNNNNNNNNNNNNNNNNNNNNNNNNNNNNNNNNCAACGAGACAGACAGAUAGAUAGAUUAACUGACUCACAGGCAGACAGACAGACAGACCGAACACACCAGGAACAAUGACAUGGCAAUGACAGGGGCGCUGGACUGCAGGUCUCGGUGUGCCAACCGCCAAACUACCAUCCAACUACUACCAGCUAACACAUAAGCAUCCCAGGGAAAAAGAGCGCUGUAUGACCUACGGGUCCGUCCAUUCCCACGCUGCUGCUUCCCCUGCCCUCUCCCGUCCCCACCUGCUCCGCGGACGCCUCGCUGGUAGUGGCAGGCGGUGUCCUUAUGUCCGGUUGCGGUGGGCGUUGUGCUGUUCUAUUGCCGACGUGGAGCGAGACGUUGAUUGAGUUUGUGUGCGCAUGGAAAAAAAGGGUUUUGUAAGGGGGUAGCGGCGGUUGGAGUUGGGCGAGAGGGAGGAGGGAUGGCGGGUGCAAAGGUGCUGCCGGCGGGUAUUAGUCCUGGUGGAGUUAUGUGGCGGGUGGAGAGCAGUUUUCGGGACAUGCCGAGUAUCGAGUGUCACGUGUAGAUGUGUAUGCGGUUUUCUGCACCAACCUCACAACCACAUUCCCCCUCUUCCCGCCUCCCGGCGCCCACAGGGGGCCCCCUGUCGCACUCACGUUCCUUGCACGUGGAAGUGGUACAUACAUACAUGCAUACAUACAUACAUACAUACAUACAUACAUACAUACAUACAUACAUACAUACAUGCAUGCAUACAUACAUAUUUACACAGCUAAACCAUAACACACGCGGCAACCGAGCUAGCUAGCCGCCAUCACGACCGCCACACGGGGGGCCCCGCCACACCCCCAGCUCACCUUGAGCCGACCGACGCCCGACUUUCCCCGCCGCCGCCGCCACCGCCACCCCUUCCUCCUCCCGAGGGCCGCCGCGGCUGCCGGACUGACGUGGCGUACGUAGGCCGUACUCGGCACCCAUCUCCCCGUGGGGGCCGAUGACGCCUGCGUGUCAGAGAAAGACGUCAAAACAUAACAUAGACACGAUAAACACACAUAUAUACAUACACGCACACACUCUCUGUUGUCGUUACGCAUACACGUGCACAGGCAUAAAGCGGGACAAGCAUAUGCAGGCUGUUAAGGAGGCUGCAUGCACGCGGGGGGUGACAUGCAGCCCAACCUUCCUAGUGGGUGUACGCGCACGCGCAUGAGUCUACACUCACAUCAUCGCGUANNNNNNNNNNNNNNNNNNNNNNNNNNNNNNNNNNNNNNNNNNNNNNNNNNNNNNNNNNNNNNNNNNNNNNNNNNNNNNNNNNNNNNNNNNNNNNNNNNNNNNNNNNNNNNNNNNNNNNNNNUUGGGCUGCAUGUCACCACACCCGCACCCAUACCCACACCCACACCCACACGCUGUCCCCCUUUCCCCUCUCACCUCCCAAUGGGCCCCCGCGAGCUCCGCCCCGACCCACAUCCCAUACACACACACACUCUCUCUCUCCCACCUGCCACACUCCCUAGCUCCGGAAUAUCGUCCGCGGGUCCCCCCCGGGUAUUCUCCGUACCGCUGUCCGCCACCUCACGAUCGUGCCGUGCUACUUUUCAUGCAGAAGCACAUACAAACAUACGCAAAUAACUAAAACAAAAAACGCACGUUAAACAACUUGCCAAUGUGGCCUCAUGGGAGGUGACGGGACUUUGGGAAAUAGCUACACGACAAAACACGUCAACAGCCGAGACAACGGCACGCAACGAGACAGACAGAUAGAUAGAUUAACUGACUCACAGGCAGACAGACAGACAGACCGAACACACCAGGAACAAUGACAUGGCAAUGACAGGGGCGCUGGACUGCAGGUCUCGGUGUGCCAACCGCCAAACUACCAUCCAACUACUACCAGCUAACACAUAAGCAUCCCAGGGAAAAAGAGCGCUGUAUGACCCACGGGUCCGUCCAUUCCCACGCUGCUGCUUCCCCUGCCCUCUCCCGUCCCCACCUGC